GGGGUUGUGGCUCAGAGGUAGAGCGCUUGCCUAGCCCGCAUGAGGCACUGGGUUCGAGCCUCAGCACCA
rnacentral:tRNA from 1 species